UAUCGGUUGUGGCUCGCGCAGUGUGUG
rnacentral:sRNA from 1 species